AUAGUCUUAGCUAAGUGGUUACCACAGCAGAUUCGAAAUCUGUUUCUCUUCGACUCGCGCAGGUUCAAAACCUGCCGAAUGAG